GACGAACGCUGGCGGCGUGCUUAACACAUGCAAGUCGAACGGUGAAGCGCCUUCCUUUUUGGUGGGUGUGGAUGAGUGGCGAACGGGUGAGUAACACGUGAGUAACCUGCCCCCUUCUUCUGGAUAACCGCAUGAAAGUGUGGCUAAUACGGGCUAUUCUGGGUCUGUCGCAUGAUGGGUCUGGGAAAGAUAUUGUUUCGGUGGGGGAUGGGCUCGCGGCCUAUCAGCUUGUUGGUGGGGUGAUGGCCUACCAAGGCGGUGACGGGUAGCCGGCCUGAGAGGGUGGACGGUCACACUGGGACUGAGACACGGCCCAGACUCCUACGGGAGGCAGCAGUGGGGAAUAUUGCACAAUGGGCGCAAGCCUGAUGCAGCGACGCCGCGUGAGGGAUGGAGGCCUUCGGGUUGUGAACCUCUUUCGCCAGUGAAGCAGGCCUGCCUCGUUUGUGGGUGGGUUGACGGUAGCUGGAUAAGAAGCGCCGGCUAACUACGUG
rnacentral:rRNA from 1 species